AUCACUGGGUUCUACUUCUGAAGCCAAGACUACACUGUAUGUUAACUAACUUGAAUUUAAGUUAAAAAAAAAAAAAGUCUAAAGAGCUUCCUGGAGAUAACCAGAUUGCUAAAAAGUAAUCAUUUGAAGGUGUUCAGAUUCAGAAAAUUCCACCAGCCCAAACCCAAUUUUCACCAAGUCAUAUUGUCUCGUUUGUAAGUCAGCAGACAUUUCCGUGGCUUUGCCGAUGCUGGAUUUUGUGGGGGAUCCUCCUGGUGACAGCGUAUACAGCAGGACGUGGCCUGCAUUUCCCACUAGAACUCCUCUGCUAAGAACCACUUUAAGUGCUAACUUCACGAACUGGUCCUGACCCUUCCACUGGUCUCUCUUCCCCCACCUCUGACCUUGGCAAGCGUGCAGUGCCAUGCUCGUUGGACUUCAAUGCUGUUUCUACCAUCGUCGAAGGUACCCCCUUAUGAUAUAAGUGAAGAUCUUAGUAUGAGUUGUGUCUUAGGCUGGGAUCACCUGUUUGAAAAUGACACCCAAAAGAGGUUGAGCAAAGGAGGACUGAAGGGACACAGGGCGGUCUGAUAAUACCCACAGACUGGAAGCCGGAUCCCGUGAGGCACCAGAAUCCUUAACAGGAAACUAGAAAUGGCAGUUUUAAAAACAUGGCCAUGAAAUCCUUUAAAACUUCUCAAUUUGCCGCAGCUCGACUCAGUGAGGACUCACUGGCCCAUGUGCGCUUCCCUUGACCCAAUGGCUGCUUGUGACUAUUUCAACCAACGGAGUAUGGCAGAGGUGAUCCUAUGUGACUUGUGAGGCUGGGUCAUAAUGGCCAUGCACACCUUGUUUUCUGGAACACUGAAACCAGGAACUCUGAGCCACCAUGUCAGAAGUCUGAGUAUUCUGAGGCCACUGUACUCUGAGGAAGCUGAGCCACACGAAGAGCCCAAGGAUGGCUGUUCUGGUCAUCACCAGUCUUCGUUUCUCAGCCCGGGCCAGACAUAGCAUGCAUCCCUCUUUGAAAUGAUGUACUUUCCUUGUUUUCAUGUGUAUUAUCUUCUCACUUGCUGAAACGGAAGCUUCAUGAAGCCAGGAUCUCUGUCAAUCUUGUCAACCAUUGUAUCCUAAGCAACUAAAACAGUGCCUGCAACAGAAUAGACGUUCAGGAAUAUUAUGCUGCUUAUAAAAACCUGUAGAUUUUCAUAGGUACGUGGUAAAAGUCAUGAAAGUCCACCUUUCCAUCCCUGCAGUGUGAGCUUGGUAAAAGCUGAGGCAGUGGCUGGUGGAAAGUGACCCAAUCAAGUCUGGCUUCUUCAUGGCCCUUCCUGGGGCACAUACUUAGAUUCCCAGUAAACCCAUCAAGUUUAUUAUGAACUCUGCAGUGAUAUUUUGUUUUAGGGGCACCUGGGUGGCUCAGUCAGUUAAGUGUCUGACCCUUGGUUUUGGCUCAGGUCAUGAUCUCACAAUUCGUGAGUUCGAGCCCCGCAUCAGGCUUCUCAAUGAUAGUGUGGAGCCUGCCUAGGAUUUUCUCUCUCCCUCUCUCUCUCUCUGCCCCUCCCCUGCACGCACGCUCUCUCUUACUCUCAGAAUGAAUAAACUUAAAAAAAAAAAAAAUGAAAGUAAGAUGACUUUUAAAAGUUAUCCAAAAACUUAGCUAACUUUCCAUCCCUCCUGAGUCAGUGAUCCAGCUGGCUGGUCUUUCAUCUCUUGCUGGUGGCUGUUGACUGCUAGAAGUCCAAGACAGGAAGGUGGGCUACUUGUGGCAUAGCUCUACAAUCGGGCCUCUAUCUCCUUUCAAACGAGGGUCUGAUGGGUGUGCAGAUGUGAGGACUAGGGAUACCACUGGGCCUUCUUUGAUUCAGGAAUAGGAACUCUCAUACACUGUUGCAGACAGAAAGCAGUAUAAUCUCUAUGGAGGAAAAAUUGGCAUCAGAGAUACAAAGGGAAAAAUACAAAAGACAAAUGCAUAUGGCUGCAAUACUUUUAAUAGCAAAGGAUCGGAAACAACCCAAAUCUCAAUCAAGGGUGACUGGUUGAAUAAACAACGGUAUGUAUGACUUCAUAAUGGAGCAUUGGAUAGGAGAACAUUCUAUCUGGUUCUAUGGAAUAAUAUUCAAUAUAUUGUUAAGGGUGGGGGGGAAGCAAGACCAAGGAAAGUGUGAAAUAGUGUGCUAUCAUUUAUCAUUUGUAUGUAUAAUUUUUUUUAAUGCAAGGGUGAAAUGGGAAAAAAAUUACUGUCCAAGGGAGAAGGAAGAAAUAGGUGGAGGGCAAUGGGUUGGAAUACAGACUUCUCUCACUGUAGCUCAUUCUGUGGAUUUGGCUUUGGAGCCAUAUAAAUAAUUUACAUAAUUAUAAAAAAAUUAAAAUGAAAAUAGCAAUCUCUAAAAAUGUAAGCAAAACAAAGUGAAUACUCAUAACCCUGAUUCAGGUUUAGGACAUAACUACUAUUCUAAGUUAUUUUAAAACAGUAAUUUGAACAUGUCUAAUGGCAUAAACCCUAAGGACAAAAAGAAUUUGCAAAAGAAAAUUUUUAACUUUUCCACAAUUAUUUUUUAUAAUUUGUCACUGUUAUUCUGAAGAUUUAAAACAAUAUGUAAUUAUUUUGGUGGUUUUGAGAAAGAGGUUUUCAGAAUGAGUCAAAGAAGAACAGAUGUGAGAUCAGGAAGGCUACAGUAAAAACCCUGUAGUCCUGAGUUGGAUUGGAAGUGUCAUUAUAAAUUCGUGUAGUUAAAAAAACAAAUGAACCCAAAACUCAUAGUAACGUAUUUCCUAGUUCUGUCCACUAACACCAAGCCACUAUCAAUGAGCACUCCUAACACCCAGAUUUUGGUCUCUAAAUUAUUUCCCACUAAGAGGAACCAGGGUUCUCUGGGAACCACUGGAUGACUUCAGGGCUAAGGCAUAAAAUACACAAGAUGAGCUUGAAACAUCUUGUCAUACGAGAUAACUAUGAAACUAUCGGAGACACUGGGGUCGUCUUGAUAUAUGGCUGGAUCACUAAACUGGCAACACACUUCCUCUGGCUCCAUCUCAUACCAAGACAAAUACAAAGAAUUUUAAAAUAAAUGUCUGAUGAAACAUCACCUAGAUUAAUGUGUAUUUAGAUACUGAAAUCUCCUCACAGUUCAGCUGGCUUUUAA